GAUCCUGGGGAUUGAGCGGCCUGAAGGCAGCUUGUGGCAAGAAGGCAGCUGCUGGCGUUGGAUUCAGGCCGAAGAUGAAUAACUCUCAGUGACAGGCUGAACCGGUGAACUUGAUGACUGUGGACAGAAACGAUAGAAGGAAGAUUGUUCUGGAGUGUUUCAAAUGGCCACCAAUUUGUCAUUCCAAGCAGUGUGAAAUGGCCACCUGUGUGUAACGGCGGGCCCCUUGCUGCUUAGUGGUUGCUGCAGCCACGUCAUGGGGACCUGAGCUACAGCUGGCUGGAGGAAAAACUGGUUUCCCUGCUGUC